AAAAAAAAAGUCGCUCCAAAUAAAAACGACCUGUGGGCUUCCUUUGUAGAAGGAAUUUAUGCAGUUCCAGGCAUUAGGGAUUAAUGAUAGCUAACAGCAAAAGAGGAGGGAUGAGCAUUAAAAUCCUGUGCCUAACAUUCCUGACUACCCCAAGGCUACAGGACAAACUGAAUUGUCUAAAUCUCCCAAAAGGAGGAUAAAUGGGAAGUCACAGAUCUCGAAGAAUAAUCAACUUGAACUCAUGCUGCUAGCACAGAUAAUUGAAUAUAAAAAGAAGAGGUGGAAAUACCAUGGGAGACACAAAAUUAUCUUCAGUGCAGAAACAUUGUUCAUAGCUGAAAAAGACAACUUAAAUAAUGGAAUUGUAUAUUUUUGAGCCACUGCUUUGUCUUAUCAUGAACUUGGAAGAAGGAUUUUCUGUUUGCAACACUUAUAUCUCUGACUUACUUCCAUUUAACA